UACGUAGGGCGCAAGCGUUAUCCGGAAUUAUUGGGCGUAAAGAGCUCGUAGGCGGUUUGUCGCGUCUGCCGUGAAAGUCCGGGGCUCAACUCCGGAUCUGCGGUGGGUACGGGCAGACUAGAGUGAUGUAGGGGAGACUGGAAUUCCUGGUGUAGCGGUGAAAUGCGCAGAUAUCAGGAGGAACACCGAUGGCGAAGGCAGGUCUCUGGGCCGAUAUUGACGCUGAGGCACGAAAGCGUGGGGAGCAAACAGG
rnacentral:rRNA from 1 species